UACAGAGGUCUCAAGCGUUGUUCGGAUUCAUUGGGCGUAAAGGGUGUGUAGGUGGCGCGCUAAGUCGGGUGUGAAAUUUCGGAGCUUAACUCCGAAACUGCAUUCGAUACUGGCGUGCUUGAGGACUGGAGAGGAGACUGGAAUUUACGGUGUAGCGGUGAAAUGCGUAAAUAUCGUAAGGAAGACCAGUGGCGAAGGCGGGUCUCUGGACAGUUCCUGACGCUGAGGCACGAAGGCCAGGGGAGCAAACGGG
rnacentral:rRNA from 1 species